ACUACGGGAGGCAGCAGUGGGGAAUAUUGCACAAUGGGGGGAACCCUGAUGCAGCGACGCCGCGUGAGUGCAGAAGUAUUUCGGUAUGUAAAGCUCUAUCAGCAGGGAAGAAAAUGACGGUACCUGACUAAGAAGCCCCGGCUAACUACGUGCCAGCAGCCGCGGUAAUACGGAGGGGGCAAGCGUUAUCCGGAUUUACUGGGGGUAAAGGGGGCGGAGCCGGGGUUGCAAGUCUGGAGUGAAAGGCGGGGGCCCAACCCCCGGACCGCUCUGGAAACUGGAAAGCUGGAGUGCAGGAGAGGUAAGCGGAAUUCCUAGUGUAGCGGUGGAAUGCGUAGAUAUUAGGAGGAACACCAGUGGCGAAGGCGGCUUACUGGACUGCAACUGACGUUGAGGCUCGAAAGCGUGGGGAGCAAACAGGAUUAGAUACCCCUGUAGUC
rnacentral:rRNA from 1 species